UAUGCAGCUCUUGAAUUCACAAGAAGAGGGGUCUCUCAAGGCGAACUCUGCAUCAUCUCUGAGGAACCUGUUCCUCCAUAUGAGAGACCUGCACUAAGCAAAGGGUAUUUACUUCCAGAAGCUCCAGCACGCCUUCCAUCAUUUCACACUUGUGUUGGAGCUAAUGAGGAAAGAUUGACUCCAAAAUGGUAUAAAGAGCAUGGAAUUGAAUUGGUCCUUGGAACUCGAGUCAAGUCUGCUGAUGUGAAGCGCAAGACACUACUGACUGCAGCUGG
rnacentral:misc_RNA from 1 species